rnacentral:lncRNA from 1 species
AUACCAGAAGAGGAAAAAAUUAGAAGUAUUGAGAGACUUGACAGUAUCUUUGGUUGGGUGCGAAUGAAGACUGAUAAGGAUGUUAGGGAAAUGAUGUUCGGUCGAGACGACAUCAAUUUGAUUAUUGUAAUCAGUUGGCAAUAUUUUUGUUUUCAGAUAGCUUAUUUUGUACUGAUGUUUGUUGUGAACCUCGUUGUAACAAAAACUUAAUGAUAUAUAAUGAUUGAAGGUUACAGAAAUACAAUGUUACAA